rnacentral:rRNA from 1 species
AAUGAUUGAUAGGGACAGUUGGGGGUGCUAGUAUUCUGCGGCGAGAGGUGAAAUUCUCGGAUUCGCUGAUGACCAACGUAUGCGAAAGCGUUCACCACGGAUGUCUAUUUUAUUCAAGAACGAAAGUUGGGGGAUCGAUGACGAUCAGCAACCGUCGUAGUCGCAACCAUAUACUAUACCGACUAGGGAUGAGUGAACGUUGCACUUUCGCCUUUGUUCGCUCCUUAUGAGAAAUCUAAGUCUCAGGUAUCGGGGGGAGUAUGGUCGCAAGGCUGAAACUUAAAGGAACUUACGGAAGGGCUCCACCAGGAGGUAUGCCUGCGGCUUAAUUUGACUCAACACGGGAAAACUUUCCAGGGCCAGACACAGUAAGGAUUGACAGAUUGAAGAUCUUUCUUGAUACUGUGGGUGGUAAGGCAUGGCCGUUCUUAGUUGGUGGAGUGAUUUGACUCGUUAACCCCCUUAACCCGAGUGCCCCAACCUG